AGUGAACGCUGGCGGUAGGCCUAACACAUGCAAGUCGAACGGCAGCACAGUAAGAGCUUGCUCUUACGGGUGGCGAGUGGCGGACGGGUGAGGAAUACAUCGGAAUCUACUUUUUCGUGGGGGAUAACGUAGGGAAACUUACGCUAAUACCGCAUACGACCUACGGGUGAAAGCAGGGGAUCUUCGGACCUUGCGCGAUUGAAUGAGCCGAUGUCGGAUUAGCUGGUUGGCGGGGUAAAGGCCCACCAAGGCGACGAUCCGUAGCUGGUCUGAGAGGAUGAUCAGCCACACUGGAACUGAGACACGGUCCAGACUCCUACGGGAGGCAGCAGUGGGGAAUAUUGGACAAUGGGCGCAAGCCUGAUCCAGCCAUACCGCGUGGGUGAAGAAGGCCUUCGGGUUGUAAAGCCCUUUUGUUGGGAAAGGAAAGCAGCAGGUUAAUACCCCGCUGUUCUGACGGUACCCAAAGAAUAAGCACCGGCUAACUUCGUG
rnacentral:rRNA from 1 species